GGGGCGAUAGCUCAGUUGGGAGAGCGCUUGCAUGGCAUGCAAGAGGUCAGGGGUUCGAAUCCCCUUCGCUCCACCA
rnacentral:tRNA from 1 species